UACGUAGGGGGCAAGCGUUGUCCGGAAUCAUUGGGCGUAAAGAGCGUGUAGGCGGCUUGGUAAGUCCGCUGUGAAAGUCCAGGGCUCAACCCUGGAAUGCCGGUGGAAACUGUCAAGCUUGAGUCCGGAAGAGGCGAGUGGAAUUCCUGGUGUAGCGGUGAAAUGCGCAGAUAUCAGGAGGAACACCAAUGGCGAAGGCAGCUCGCUGGGACGUGACUGACGCUGAGACGCGAAAGCGUGGGAGCAAACAGG
rnacentral:rRNA from 1 species